GGUAGAGCUGGACAUGUUGAACUGGAUCACGUUUUAAUACGAUUAAAAGACUCAUUUUACAGUGGGUCCGCCAUGGUUCUGUGUAGCUAAGUUAUGCUGAUAUUUCCAGUUAAUUUUGUCUUUGACGUAGUAAGUAAAACAUGGAAACAACAACGAUCGAGUCACAGACAGUUCGCAGUAGAACUUAAACAGAGAAGGGCAUCGUUUACUACUUAAAUUAUUGGGAUCAUCUGGUUACCGCCAGUGUUUGGAAUAUGACGAGCUCGUUGACAAAACAGACCAUGAGACGCCUUUUUUACACCGAUAUUUAUUUGUUAAAGGUCCGCGGUGGUUCGGUGUAAACUAUGCGAUUAAUUUGGAAGAACGUUUAUUGCAGUGAAUGUAAUCUAUUAAUGUACUUUUAUAGUAUUUCUAAGUAGCAGCCAUACAACAGCCAGGGAAACGUAUUGUACUCUCUAACAUUCCAAUUUUUCUGCCUGACUGGCGCUCUUUAUCUGAAUUUAUCCAUGAUUUCCAGGUAAUCACAACAAAACGACUUAUUUUGCUCAAAUAGAGAUAAUUAAAUGGUGUUUUCUUUGAAAAGAUUAGUCAGGCCAGAAUACAACAUUCUGUUUUCUACAUGAGUUUGGCGCUGUUUAUUGCAAUUUUCUGGAUUGUCUUGUGAUCAGAAUAAAACGUAAAUAUUGAAGACUUAUCUCUUCAGUAGGUCCUAUGAUUGAGUGUAGUCUGGCCCAGGAGUGUGAAGGUGAACGGAAACUGGAGCAACGAACCGCCCUUGCUGUCUCUGCCUGGCCGGUUCCCCUCUCUCCACUGGGAUUCUCUGCCUCUAACCCGAUUACAGGGGCUGAGUCACUGGCUUACUGGUGCUCUUCCAUGCCGUCCCUAAGACGGGUGCAUCACUUGAGUGAUCUUCCUGUCUGGGUUGGCGCCACCCCCUUGGGUUGUGCCGUGGCGGAGAUCUUUGUGGGCUAUACUCGGCCUUGUCUCAGGAUGGACCUGAGCCCUAGGACCAUGCCCCAGGACUACCUGACAUGACUCCUUGCUGUCCCCAGUCCACCUGGCCAUGCUGCUGUUCCAGUUUCAACUGACCUGAGCCCUAGGACCAUGCCCCAGGACUACCUGACAUGAUGACUCCUUGCUGUCCCCAGUCCACCUGGCCAUGCUGCUGCUCUAGUUUCAACUGUUCUGCCUUAUUAUUAUCGACCAUGCUGGUCAUUUAUGAACAUUUGAACAUCUUGGCCAUGUUCUGUUAUAAUCUCCACCCGGCACAGCCAGAAGAGGACUGGCCACCCCACAUAGCCUGGUUCCUCUCUAGGUUUCUUCCUAGGUUUUGGCCUUUCUAGAGAGUUUUUCCUAGCCACCGUGCUUCUACACCUGCAUUGCUUGCUGUUUGGGGUUUUAGGCUGGGUUUCUGUACAGCACUUUGAGAUAUCAGCUGAUGUACGAAGGGCUAUAUAAAUACAUUUGAUUUGAUUUGAUCACUAUCUGACAUAGCUAGAGGCUAGAGCUGAACUGGCUGUUAGGUAAUUUAGCUACUAGCUAGCUCAUGUAUUAAUCUCAGUGAAGAGGGGAUGAAACAUUAGCUACCAUUACAUGUUAGUUACACUAGCUAAUAGCUCAGCACUGAGAAUAAACACUAGUUUAGUUUUUUUCUUUUAAGUUAACCAGCAGUUACCUUGCCAGCUGCAUCACUGAUGAUGAUCAGUCAACAAAAGAGUGGCCAAUUUCUGCUCUGCUUGCUUUAACAAAACAAAGUGCACAACAUACAGACAGCAGCUGCCUCUGAUCAAUUCUCCUGUGCUGGUCCAGCCACCCUUCCAGAAGCUUUGCCUUUCACACAGCCUGUCCGCCCGCUCUGCACUGUCCUCAUGGUCCUAAAUCCAGACGGCUGAAAACUAAACAGCCUACCCGACCGUUCUGAGGCGUCCGAAUGGUCCAAAAGCACAACCCAGUGUCUCUUCUUGUAUCACAUUGCAAUGAUAAAACUGGGAGAGACAAAAGUGCAAUUUUAGAAUGUGGAGGGGGACAUGAACCCCCCAUCCCCAGUGAAAGUUGCGCCCCCGUUAUAUGAUAUGGUUAUUAUUCUUAUGCUUAAGACAUGCAAAUGUACAGAAAAUAUGAACAUUCCAGAUGUUUUCAUAUACAGUUGGUCUGUUAUGUCACCAAAGACCAUUCUUCUAAAACUACAUGAGAUCCAACUGAAUCAGGAGAACUUGACCUCGUAAGAAUCUGACUUUCUGGGCUAGAGUUAAUGAAACUAAAUCAAUGGGGUAAAAUGUACAAGCAGACCAAUACGAUAGUCACAGAUUCUUAACAAAUGUACUGUGCAUAUAAAAAUAUACAUACUUAAAUGGAAUAAAAAUAUUGGUAGUUA